GACGAACCGUGCGAACGUUGUUCGGAAUCACUGGGCAUAAAGGGCGCGUAGGCGGCUUAUCAAGUCAGGGGUGAAAUCCGGCAGCUCAACUGUCGAAGUGCCCUUGAUACUGACGAGCUCGAGGGAGGUAGGGGUGUUUGGAACUUCCGGUGGAGCGGUGAAAUGCGUUGAUAUCGGAAGGAACGCCGGUGGCGAAAGCGACACACUGGACCUCUUCUGACGCUGAGGCGCGAAAGCGUGGGGAGCGAACAGG
rnacentral:rRNA from 1 species